GCGGGCGUGGCGAAAUUGGCAGACGCACUAGACUUAGGAUCUAGCGGGAAACCAUGGGGGUUCAAGUCCCUCCGCCCGUA
rnacentral:tRNA from 1 species